rnacentral:lncRNA from 1 species
AUGCAUCAUGUUCUUUUGGAUUGCCCAUUCCCUUGUGCAGGGAGGGAACUAGAACAAUACACAGGAAUUUAUACCAUAUACCAAAAACUUGGAAGCUGGAGCAGAUCCAAGUCAGCAGAUGGACUGAAGUCCCUCCAAGCCUGUGCGCUGCAAGGGCCUGGACUGAAUAUCUGUAUUCAGCAUCUUCAGGAAACUCCUCAUUUGCUUGUGAGAUCAUUAAAGAACAAAAUCUUUUUGUCAUUCUGUACAGUUAACAGCCUUUCAAUUUGUUUGUUUGCUUGUUGUUUUUUUUUUUUGUUUUGUUUUGUUUUUUUAAUGAAUGUAAAUUGUGUUUGCCUUAUGUUUUGGAAAAUACCAAUCCAUAUUUAGCCACCAGCACAGAGAAUUAGCAGCCUUACUUCAAUUUGAGUGGAGUUGAAUUAGACAAUCAUUGAUCCAGAUGGUUGACUUACAAUGGAAAUUAAUAGGAACAUUUCCCUGAAUCAAAUUAUUUCUUGAUAAGACUGCUCAGUCAAUAAGUGAAUCUCACAAUAUCAUUCGGCAAUGACAUAAUCACAGCAUUCACUUUUCCUUAAUCCCCUACAUGUCAGCUCCUUGCAGAACACAAUUGAAACCUCUUACAUAGUGAUAAGUAUAAUUUAUUUAGGAAUUUAAAUCCUGCUUUUUUGAAGUGAAGAUCUUGUUUGACAAAUCAACUUGCAAAAGUGACUACAAAGGUUAUAAUAACUCAGUGAGUUCCAGAUUGUGUUCAUUUUAUCACAAACUGACUUCUUCUUGCACAAGAGCAAUGCAUUACAAGUCACACAAUGGUGUCUUAUGCCACGCUGCUGUUGGAGAUUGCCAGGUAGACAUAGGAGUUUUCUCAUACAUGAAGGUUUCUUGUUAUGGAUGAAAAGCAUAAAUAUAAACUUUGCUUCUUACUCUUACUGAAGAAUGUCUCUACAGGACCUAGGUCUAAAUUUUCCCAGCCAUUCCCUCUGCUGUUUGUUAGCCAAAUGGGUGACCUCUGAUUCUUAUACCGUGUUGGGCUCAUUAAAUCACGGAUAGACUCACUGUUACAGUAGAUCUUUUCACCAAAUCCAAGUAAUCCUGGAGUAGAUUAAUGACAGCAGAAUCUGUACCUGAAAAGACAUUCAGUAAAUAAAAGGGUAGUCUAAUAUUUUUUAAAAAUCUUG